UUUAGUGUGCCACGGCGAGGGGGGAGGGGGGAAUUCAGAAACCACGCCAAUAAUUCUCGAAAUAUCUAAAUUGGACUCAAAAGCUAUCUUUUUCGAGAAAACUCUAAAGAAAACCAAUAACUAUUUGUCAUUCACAAAGUCCUCCGAAAAUAUCCAUUAGUAAGUAUAUCUAGAUCAAUGUACGAAAAAUAGCAACGUAACCUAGCACCACCAUAAAUAGGGGUAGCUAAUGAGCCAGCUCGGCUCGUUAUGACCCAUUUGAUAAUGAGCUAGCUCGGCUGGUUAAGGGUAAUAAGCUAAAAAUCAAGUUUGACUCAAUUCAUUUGAAAAGCUCGAGCCGGUCAAGC
rnacentral:lncRNA from 1 species